GCUCACUUUGGCAGCAUAUACUAAAAUUGGAAUGAUACAGAGAAGAUUAGCACAGCCCCUGCACAAGGAUGACGCAUAAAUUAGUGAAGUGUUCUAUAUUAAA